GAGACAGCAGCCGCCACGGUAAUACGAGGGGGGCAAGCGUUGUUCGGAUUUAUUGGGCGUAAAGGGUGCGUAGGCGGUUUGGCAAGUCUUGUGUGAAAUCUUCGGGCUCAACCCGAAGCCUGCACGAGAAACUACCGGGCUUGAGUAUUGGAGAGGUGAGUGGAAUUUCCGGUGUAGCGGUGAAAUGCGUAGAUAUCGGAAGGAACACCUGUGGCGAAAGCGGCUCACUGGACAAUAACUGACGCUGAUGCACGAAAGCUAGGGGAGCAAACAGGAUUAGAUACCCCCGUAGUCCCUGUCUCUUAUAC
rnacentral:rRNA from 1 species